ensembl:snRNA U2 U2 spliceosomal RNA
AUCGCUUCUUGGCCUUUUGGUUAAGAUCAGGUGUAGUAUAUUUGCUUAAACUGGGGCCAAUACUAAACUUAUUUUUUAUAGUGUAGAUUAAAAUUCGAUCUUGAUAUCAGGUAAGUCUCCCUACCUUGUUCUUCUUUAGGAGUGUAUUGACUAUUU